AUAUGGCUCAGGAUAAACGCUGGCGGCGUGCUUAACACAUGCAAGUCGAACGGAGUACUUCUCCCGAGACCGAGGAAGCUUGCUUCCAAAGAAUCAUUGAAGUACUUAGUGGCGGACGGGUGAGUAACGCGUGGGUAACCUGCCUCACACAGGGGGAUAACAGUUGGAAACGACUGUUAAUACCGCAUAAGCGCACAGUAUCGCAUGGUACAGUGUGAAAAACUCCGGUGGUGUGAGAUGGACCCGCGUCUGAUUAGCUAGUUAGGUGAGGUAACGGCCCACCAAGGCGACGAUCAGUAGCCGGCCUGAGAGGGUGUACGGCCACAUUGGGACUGAGACACGGCCCAAACUCCUACGGGAGGCAGCAGUGGGGAAUAUUGCACAAUGGGGGAAACCCUGAUGCAGCGACGCCCGCGUGAGUGAUGAAGUAUCUCGGUAUGUAAAGCUCUAUCAGCAGGGAAGAUAAUGACGGUACCUGACUAAGAAGCACCGGCUAAAUACGUGCCAGCCGCAGC
rnacentral:rRNA from 1 species